rnacentral:rRNA from 1 species
AUUGAACGCUGGCGGCAGGCCUAACACAUGCAAGUCGGGCGUGCGGCGCCCGGGUGAGUCAUUUAUGGGGAUCUGCCUGAUGUCGGGGGAUAACUACUGGAAACUGUAGCUAAUACCGCCUACCAUCAGAUGAACCCAUGUGGGUUUAGCUUUUAGGUAAGGUAACGGCUUACCUAGGCGACGAUCCCUAGCUGGUCUGAGAGGAUGAUCAGCCACACUGGGACUGAGACACGGCCCAGACUCCUACGGGAGGCAGCAGUGGGGAAUAUUGCACAAUGUGCGCAAUCCUGAUGCAGCAAUGCCGCGUGUAUGAAGAAGGCCUUCGGUUUGUAAAGUACUUUCAGUCGGGAGGCGUGAGGGAAAGAAGAAGCACCGGCUAACUACGUGCCAGCAGCCGCGGUAAUAG